rnacentral:rRNA from 1 species
CUGCUGCCUCCCGUAGGAGUCUGGGCCGUAUCUCAGUCCCAAUGUGGCCGAUCAACCUCUCAGUCCGGCUACCGAUCGUCGCCUUGGUGGGCCGUUGCCCCACCAACUAGCUAAUCGGCCGCGAGCCCAUCUUCCAGCGGAUUGCUCCUUUGGCUGCAUCGGGAUGCCCCAUCGCAGCGUUAUGCGGUAUUAGCAGUCGUUUCCAACUGCUAUCCCCCUCUGAAAGGCAGGUUGCUCACG